AUAUUUAUUGUUAAUUGGUUUUUGACAAGGACACCAAGAUCAUUCAAUGGUGGGAAGUAGUCUCUUUCAACAACUGGUGCUGGGAAACGAUAUCCACAUGAGGCUGGGUGCGGUGGCUCACGCCUGUAAGUCCAGCACUUUGGGAGGCUGAAGUGGGUGAAUCAC